rnacentral:rRNA from 1 species
AAUCUUCCACAAUGGGCGAAAGCCUGCUGGAGCAACGCUGCGUGAGUGAAGAAGGUUUUCGGAUCGUAAAACUCUGUUGUAAGGGAAGAACAAGUACAGUAGUAACUGGCUGUACCUUGCCGGUACCUUAUUAGAAAGACACGGCGACCUACGUGCCAGCAGCCGCGGUAAUACGUAGUGGGCAAGCGUGGUCCGGAAGUAUUUGGCGUAAAGCGCGCGCAGGCGGUCCUUUAAGUCUGAUGUGAAAGCCCACGGCUCAACCGUGGAGGGUCAUUGGAAACUGGGGGACUUGAGUGCAGAAGAGGAAAGUGGAAUUCCAAGUGUAGCGGUGAAAUGCGUAGAGAUUUGGAGGAACACCAGUGGCGAAGGCAACUUUCUGGUCUGUAACUGACGCUGAGGCGCGAAAGCGUGGGGAGCAAACA